rnacentral:rRNA from 1 species
UACGAAGGGGGCUAGCGUUGCUCGGAAUUACUGGGCGUAAAGGGCUCGUAGGCGGCCAACUAAGUCAGACGUGAAAUCCCUCGGCUUAACCGGGGAACUGCGUCUGAUACUGGAUGGCUUGAGGUUGGGAGAGGGAUGCGGAAUUCCAGGUGUAGCGGUGAAAUGCGUAGAUAUCUGGAGGAACACCGGUGGCGAAGGCGGCGAUCCUGGACCAAUUCUGACGCUGAGGAGCGAAAGCCAGGGGAGCAAACGGG